rnacentral:misc_RNA from 1 species
ACGAGUUUUGAAAGGGGUUGUAGCUGGCCUUUUACGAGGCAUGUGCACGCCCUGCUCAUCCACUCUCAACCUCUGUGCACUUACUGUAGGUCGGUGAAAGGCUUGUGCUUUUAUUAGUGCGAGCUGGAAGCCUUCCUAUGUUUCACUACAAACGCUUCAGUUAUAGAAUGUCUUUUUGCGUAUAACGCAUUUAUAUA